rnacentral:lncRNA from 10 species
CCAGGCAUCAUCCUAGCACUGUCAGAAUGGACCCUGGGGGCUUCAUUGGAAAACCCAUGUAGAAUAUGGACUCACUUAAACACAGACACUUCCUUAAAAGCUUUUGGUUCGAUGUGAAUGGUAGCAGAAAGACCCCUGAGUUGCAAGUGAGAUCCCUUCAGCUCUGCCAUGCAGAAGCUGAGUGACCCAAGAUAAAAACAUGCCACCACUUCCCCUCUAGAAGAUGGGAUGCUCUGAGCAUUCCCAAGCAUGAAGUGAGCACCUUCUGUGUGCCUUGGAGGCAGAAAAAAAAAAAAAAAACAACAACGCAAGAUGAGUUAUCUGGUCCUACACAACAGGUGCAGGAUGGGCAUGUGAUUUGGAUCUGCCAAACAAAUGACUUCUAUCCCCCGAGCUACACCAUUUGGUUCAUCUGCUGGUCUUAUGUGACUCAGUCCUGGAAAUUUUGCUGGGCUACUGAUAAAAAGAAACUCUCCUUUCCCUGAGAUUAUCAUCAGCUACAACAGCUAUAAGGAAGACACAAUCCUAGAGCUGCCCAGGAACAAAGCCAACACAGGAGGUGGCAGAGUUGCUGAGAAGUAGAGAGGAGAAUGAACACUCAUUGCAUCCUUUGAGUGACCGAAUACAGUCAUACCUAAAGUCCAUGCCUUGAAUUUGGUAGUUUCAAAGAAAGCCAGAAGUUUCCUUCUAUUCUUAUGCAAGCUGAGUUGGGUCUCUGAAUCUCACACUCAAAAGAGCUCAUAGUAAUACCAUAAAUUCAACCACAUGUUUUGGAAUUGCAUUGACCUAGCCCGACUUGCUCCUGUAUUUUCCCAAAUCUUACUCAAGUGGCCUAAGAUUUACUAAUCUGAAUGGAUGGAACUGGAGAUCAUUAUGUUAAGUGAAAUAAGUCAGGCACAGAAAGACAAACAUCGCAUGUUCUCACUUAUUUGUGGGAUCUAAAAAUCAAAACAAUCGAAUUCAUGGACAUAGAGAAUAGAAGUAUGGUUACCGGAGACUGGGAAGGAUAGUGGGGCAUGGGAGGGCGGGGAAGAUAGGGAUGGUUAAUGAGUACAGAAAAAUAGAAUGAAUAAAACUUACUGCUUGACAGCACAAUAGGGUGACUAUGGUCAAAAAUAACUAUACAUUUAAAAAUAAAGGGUGUUAUUGAAUUGUUUGUAACUCACAGGAUAA